rnacentral:tRNA from 1 species
GCCUUCGUGGUGUAGUAAUCAGCACGCUUGGCGCAUAUUCGAGAGGUCCGUGGUUCGAGUCCCGCCGAGGGCA